GUGCUCACUUUGGCAGCACAUAUACAAUAAUUGGAAUAAUACAGAGAAGAUCAGCAUGGGCCCUGUGAAAGGAUGACAUGCAAAUUUGUGAAGUGUUCCAUAUUUUU